UUAUUUUUUAGAGCUAUACUUCAGAAGUGCAGAGCAGCCUGAGGGCCCUUUUUCUCCAUUUUAUUUUGUGUGUCUUCUUAAAAAUUGUAUCUUGGCUAGAACUACUCUUUCUUCCUUGGUGGUUUUAUAACUCACAAGGUGAAUGGUGAUACCCUGAAAGAUCAACAGGAAUACCCUCAGGGUGGGAAUAUAAAUCUAGUCCCUCUUACUCUAUCCUGCCCAGAAGUGGAAAUAUGAUCCUUCCAUUAUAAAAUAAAGAAUGGUCCUAAGAUUUGAGAACUCCAAAAGGACUUAGUGUUACGGAAUAAAGGUGAACAACCAUUUGGGACUGUUUAUCUACUUGCUAUCUCUCUUUUGAGAGAGAAUAAUGUCUCAAGAGCUCCAUUCUCUGAUGCCUGCAGUAUGUUAUGAAUCAGUAGAGAAUCUUUCUGUCUGUGCUUGGAUCUUGGGCUGGAAGUGUCAGGAAUUAUUGCUUCCCGGGAGCGUGCCUUAACCAAUGAUGCUUAGGAGUUGGUAUACAAAUGUUUCAACUCCUUCACCGCUCAAGUGGAAUGAUUCUGAGGUAUGCAUUUUACACUAGUUCCUGGAAUUUACUCUUGGUCUUAAGUGGCAGUCACUGACUGUGAUAGCUGAUUUAGUAAUACCCCUUUCUUGGUUUGCCUCCCUCACUUAUUAUUUCCCUGCUGGUGUUCCCUGCACCUCCUUAAUAAGCUACUUAUACUUGAAUCCCUAUCUCUGAGUCUGCUUUUCCAGAACCCAAACCAAGGCCAAAAGACCAGUCAUACCCCAGUUAAAUCCUGAAAGGCUUUAAGAUCAAUAUUGAGUAUGCAUGUAUAGUGGGAUAUUUCCUUCAAACAAAGAUGCCCUAGGGAUGGGGGCAUAACACCCUUCCAUAACAUUCAUGUCUGCCUUUGCCCGUUUUGUUCAGACCCACUUCAGUGUGGACAGAAAUGGAAAUGUUCUAAGCUCUGUAGCAUCCUUUUGAUUGAUCUCCAUAGCUCCAGCUUCUCCCUCCAACCAGCCCUGCAUGGUGCUGCCAGUCCAGUUUUCCUAGGGCCUCAUUUUCAUGUAUUGCUCCCUGUUCAGAAACCUGCAAUGACCUAAUCAGACAGUGGUAAGUCAAAAUGUCUCUACUUCAUCUUAAGCCUCCCUCAUAACCUGGGGAGAGAAGUUGUGUUGUUUACUGCUCUGGCACCCUUCCUUAUAGGCUUUGGGUUGGCAGUGACUGCAUUCCUCCACUAAAGGCCACAGCUUUUUUGUUGGGUGUCCUCCUGCAGCUACACCUGUAGCUAUAUCUCUUUCCAGGUUUUACU
rnacentral:lncRNA from 1 species